CCUACGGGAGGCAGCAGUGAGGAAUAUUGGUCAAUGGGCGCGAGCCUGAACCAGCCAAGUCGCGUGAGGGAAGACGGUCCUAUGGAUUGUAAACCUCUUUUGUCGGGGAGCAAAAGACGCCACGCGUGGCGUUCCGAGAGUACCCGAAGAAAAAGCAUCGGCAAACCCCGUGCCAGCAGCCGCGGUAAUACGGAGGAUGCGAGCGUUAUCCGGAUUUAUUGGGUUUAAAGGGUGCGCAGUCGGGAGAUCAAGUCAGCGGUAAAAUUACGAGGCUCAACCUCGUCGAGCCGUUGAAACUGGUUUGCUUGAGUGAGUGAGAAGUAUGCGGAAUGCGUGGUGUAGCGGUGAAAUGCAUAGAUAUCACGCAGAACUCAGAUGGCGAAGGCAGCAUACCGGCGCUCAACUGACGCUCAUGCACGAAAGUGUGGGUAUCGAACAGGAUUAGAUACCCGAGUAGUC
rnacentral:rRNA from 1 species